rnacentral:rRNA from 1 species
UAAGACAGAGGGUGCAAACGUUGCUCGGAAUUACUGGGCGUAAAGCGCGUGUAGGCGGACCUGUAAGUUGGACGUGAAAGCCCUGGGCUCAACCCAGGAAUUGCAUCCAAAACUACAGGCCUAGAGUGAUGGAGAGGGUAGCAGAAUUCCUGGUGUAGAGGUGAAAUUCGUAGAUAUCAGGAGGAACACCGGUGGCGAAGGCGGCUACCUGGACAUCAACUGACGCUGAGACGCGAAAGCGUGGGGAGCAAACAGGAUUAGAUACCCUGGUAGUCCACGCCGUAAACGAUGAGUGCUGGGUGUCGUGGGUUUUGACCCCCGCGGUGCCGUAGCUAACGCGUUAAGCACUCCGCCUGGGGAGUACGGCCGCAAGGCUA